GGCGUUGUGGCAGAGUGGUCUAAUGCGCAAGAUUAGAAAUCUUGUUCCUUCGGGAGCGUCUGUUCGAAUCAGGCCAACGUCG
rnacentral:tRNA from 1 species